rnacentral:lncRNA from 1 species
AUGUCCCAGCGACUGCCACCAGGGGCGCUGCAGAGCCUGGCUGAGCUGGAGGAGCAGGUGGGAGCGCUGCAGAGACAAGCUGUGGACCAGGGCAGCCAGAUGCACAGAAACCUGCAGGAGUGGACCCAAUGGGAGGAGGCCAGUGGGAGGCUGGCCCGGUUGCUGGAUGAGCUAGAUGAGCUGGAGACCAGCAUGGCCAGCGAGGGCCCCCACCUGGAGCCCGAGGGCCAGCUGCAGGAGAGGGCCGCCGCCCACCAGGUGAGCGCCACCAGCACGGACGGACGGACCUUUGGGCACAAACUAACAAACAGACAAGCAAGCAAGUGUGAGAGUAGCCAGCAGGUACAGCGCUGUGUAGUGACUUAGACUCACUCCCUGACACGUCAACAGAUGACGUGCUAGCGAUAGACAUUAGCACCCUUGGGUUUUAGCAUUCUUGCUAGCAUGCCGUCUCCCACGUACGAGGCUGCAAGUCAUGUCAAGACACUUUAAUUUAUAGCACAUUGAAAAACAACAGGUGUUGGGGGAGCUGUGGCGGAGCAGCAGCCCCAUACCAUGGAUGGGCCUGAACGCCCACGCGGACCCGGGUUCAAGUCCGACUCGCGGUCAUUUCCCGAUCCCACUUCCAAUCACUCUCCAGCUCGCUUCCUGUCGCUCUUCACUUUCCUAUCCAAUUGAAGGCAAAAAGCCAAAAAAUUACUUCAAAAAACAGGAGUUGGCCUAAAAUGUGGGUAGAAAGUUGAGUCCUGUGAGGGACUGUGCUGUCACACCCAACUGGUUACACCAACAAACAAACAAACAGACACAAACAAAAGACUUCCGGACUUCCGAAACCAAACAAAGGAAACAAACUCUGGAAAGAAGCAAAAAGUAACAAAAGGGUUUGCAAAAAGUUUUACUAAAAAGAAUCACAAAACCCAUCAUGUGCUAUUUUUUACCAUUUCACAUUUCCGUAAGACCUGAAGGGGAUCCAUGCUAUUUGAGUUUUUGGCAAAAAGGGUUUUAGCAGCGUUAUAUAUUUUUUUUGCUGUUGGAAGGCUUUACUGAUUCAUGUCCAGACUCCAGUCCCCGUAGCUCAGCUUGCUUAGUUGAAUGGCGGCGCUGAAAUGUUCUGCGCACGGCCUAUUUGCCUGAGUGGGAGAACGAUGGAGAGAGAGAGAGAGAGAGACAGCG